rnacentral:rRNA from 1 species
UACGAAGGGGGCAAGCGUUGUUCGGAAUUACUGGGCGUAAAGGGCGCGUAGGCGGCGCCAUCAGUCAGGUGUGAAAGCCCCGAGCUCAACUUGGGAAUUGCACUUGAUACGAUGGUGCUUGAGUUCGGGAGAGGAGAGUGGAAUUCCCAGUGUAGAGGUGAAAUUCGUAGAUAUUGGGAAGAACACCGGUGGCGAAGGCGGCUCUCUGGACCGAGACUGACGCUGAGGCGCGAAAGCGUGGGGAGCAAACAGG